rnacentral:miRNA from 1 species
UGUCAGUUUCUGUGUGUGGGUGUGUGUGUGUGUGUGUGUGCAUGUGUCCACGCAUACACACACACACACACACACACACACACACACACACAC